GCUUAAGUGGCAUAGUGGUUUGAGUUUUGGGAUUACAACUCCGGAGACCAGGGUUCGAUUCCCAACUCAGCCA